rnacentral:rRNA from 1 species
GAAAGGCGGGCUAAUACCGAAUGACAUCUUGAAGACUUAUGUUUUCAGGAUCAAAGAUGGCCUCUACAUGUAAGCUAUUGUUUGGGGAUGAGCCCGCGUACCAUUAGCUUGUUGGUAGGGUAAUGGCCUACCAAGGCUACGAUGGUUAGCUGGUCUGAGAGGAUGAUCAGCCACACUGGAACUGACACACGGUCCAGACUCCUACGGGAGGCAGCAGUGAGGAAUUUUGCGCAAUGGGGGAAACCCUGACGCAGCAACGCCGCGUGAGUGAUGAAGGCUUUCGGGUCGUAAAACUCUGUCAAGUGGGAAGAACUCAUAUGGUGUUAAUAUCGCCAUAUGCUGACGGUACCACUGAGGGAAGCACCGGCUAACUCCGUGCCAGCAGCCGCGGUAAUACGGGGGGUGCGAGCGUUAUUCGGAAUUACUGGGCGUAAAGAGCGCGUAGGCGGUCUUUUAAGUCAGGUGUGAAAGCCCGGGGCUCAACCCCGGAAGUGCACUUGAAACUAAGGGACUUGAGUAUGGGAGAGGGAAGUGGAAUUCCUGGUGUAGCGGUGA